GUCAUAAUUACUAGCCUUUGGGGGCUUUUACGGUUUUUUGGCGCAGCUAACGCGAUACCCCCUUAGGCGGGGGAGUAAGGUCGCAAGACUAAAACUCAUACUGAUUUGACGGGGGCCCGCACAAGCGGUGGAGCAUGUGGUUUAAUUCGAUGCUACGCGAAGAACCUUACCAGGUCUUGACGUACAGAGAACUUUCCCGACAUGGAUUGGUGCCUUCUGGAACUCUGAUACAGGGGCUGCAUGGCUGUCGUCCGCUCGAGUCCUGAAAAGUUGGGUUAAGUCCCGCAACCAGCGCAACCCUUUUCCUUAUUUGACAACACUUCGGGGGGGAACUUUAAAGAUACUGCCACCGACAACACUGGAGGAAGGCGGGGACGACGACUAGUCAUCAUGGGCCUUGCGACCCGGGCUACACACGAGCUACAAUGGUCGGGACAAAAGGUUGCUACCUCACUAGAGGAUGCUAAUCUCAAAAAAGCCGAUCGUAUUCCGGAUUGAGAGCUGCAACUUCCUUCCCUGCAGUCGGAAUCACUAGUAAUCCCGCAUCACAAAGCCGACGGUGAAAACGAUCCCGGGCCCUUGCACUCCCCCCCCCGUAUUCACCAUGGGGAGACUUGUUGCUCCAAAAAACAGUUAGUCCUAGCUCUUAACGGAUGACGCCUAUCAACGGUGUGGUCUAUGACUUCGGGGUG
rnacentral:rRNA from 1 species